AACUUUUUAUUUUUUAGGGGUAGUGUUCUAUAACUUUAGGGCGUUCUAUAACUUUAGGGCGUUCUAUAACUUUAGGGCGUUCUAUAACUUUUUAUUUUUUAGGGGUAGUAUUCUAUAACUUUAGGGCGUUCUAUAACUUUUUCUUUUUUAGAGGUAGUGUUCUAUAACUUUAGGGCGUUCUAUAACUUUUUAUUUUUUAGGGGUAGUGUUCUAUAACUCUAGGGCGUUCUAUAACUUUUUAUUUUUUAGGGUUAGUAUUCUAUAAUAUUAGAGUGUUCUAUAACUUUUUCUUUUUUAGAGGUAGUGUUCUAUAAUAUUAGAGUGUUCUAUAACUUUUUAUUUUUUAGGGUUAGUAUUCUAUAAUAUUAGAGUGUUCUAUAACUUUUUCUUUUUUAGAGGUAGUGUUCUAUAACUUUAGGGCGUUCUAUAACUUUUUAUUUUUUAGAGGUAGUGUUCUAUAACUUUAGGGCGUUCUAUAACUUUUUAUUUUUUAGAGGUAGUGUUCUAUAACUUUAGGGCGUUCUAUAACUUUAGGGCGUUCUAUAACUUUUUAUUUUUUAGGGGUAGUGUUCUAUAACUUUAGGGCGUUCUAUAACUUUUUCUUUUUUAGAGGUAGUGUUCUAUAACUUUUGGGCGUUCUAUAACUUUUUAUUUUUUAGGGGUAGUGUUCUAUAACUUUAGGGCGUUCUAUAACUUUAGGGCGUUCUAUAACUUUAGGGCGUUCUACAACUUUUUAUUUUUUAGGGGUAGUGUUCUAUAACUUUAGGGCGUUCUAUAACUUUAGGGCGUUCUAUAACUUUAGGGCGUUCUACAACUUUUUAUUUUUUAGGGGUAGUGUUUUAUAACUUUAGGGCGUUCUAUAACUUUUUCUUUUUUAGAGGUAGUAUUCUAUAACUUUAGGGCGUUCUAUAACUUUUUCUUUUUUAGAGGUAGUGUUCUAUAAUAUUAGAGUGUUCUAUAACUUUUUAUUUUUUAGGGUUAGUAUUCUAUAAUAUUAGAGUGUUCUAUAACUUUUUCUUUUUUAGAGGUAGUGUUCUAUAAUAUUAGAGUGUUCUAUAACUUUUUCUUUUUUAGAGGUAGUGUUCUAUAACUUUAGGGCGUUCUAUAACUUUAGGGCGUUCUAUAACUUUAGGGCGUUCUACAACUUUCUAUUUUUUAGGUGUAGUGUUCUAUAACUUUAGGGCGUUCUAUAACUGUAGGGUGUUCUAUAACUUUAGGGCGUUCUAUAACUUUUUAUUUUUUAGGGUUAGUGUUCUAUAACUUUAGCGCGUUCUAUACCUUUUAUUUAUUCUAUUACUUUAGUCCUUUCUAUAACUUUAGACUAUUCUAUACUAGUAGCUAUUAUAUCCUUUUUAUAAUACUUAUUAUAUCAUACUAUUAUCUAUUAUUCUUUACUGUUAAGUAUAUCCUUAUAUUUUAUAAAACCUUUUCUCUACUAGCUAGUCCUACUAUACUUUCUUUUAUAACCUACUAGUAUUAAAUAAUACCUUUAUAUUCUUCCUCUAUACUAUCUCUAUUUCUUGCCUUAUAUAUUAAGUAGAUAUAGAUAGAGCUAAUAGAUCUAUAGUUAAUAUAGAUAAAGUAGUUAUAGUAGAGUAUAGAUAUUAGAGUAGAGAUCCUUAUCUAUAUAUUUACCUACUACUAAUAAAAUUCUAAGUUACUCUUAUCUAGCGAAUAUAGGUUUAUGGUUUGUAUAGGGCUGCGCAUGUCUACAUAGUUUUAUAUAUAAAAAAGUGUACCUCUAAGCUAUUUUCUGCUAUACUAACCCUACAACGCGAAAAUUAAACUAAAACCUAUUCCUAUAAUAUAUAAGGAGGGCAAAUAGAUUCUUAAAUACUAAAUACCUAACUAACUAACUAAGGUUAAAUCUACUGCGCGCAGUUCUUAGAUUAGGUAGUUAAACUAGCGUUAUUAGGUACUAAGGGGGCAAUUUUUGCUUAUAUCUGCGUCUAUACUCCCUAUAACUCCCUAUUAUUAGCGCUCUACGCCUGUUUUAGCAGUAGUUAGACUAAAUUUAAAAGUUUUAGUUUUAUAAUAGCUAGCCUUGU
rnacentral:rRNA from 1 species